rnacentral:tRNA from 1 species
CGGGGCGUGGCGCAGCCUGGUAGCGCAUCCGGCUGGGGGCCGGACGGUCGCAGGUUCAAAUCCUGCCGCCCCGACCA